rnacentral:rRNA from 1 species
UACAGAGGUCUCGAGCGUUAGGCGGAAUCACUGGGCUUAAAGCGUGUGUAGGCGGACUGGUAAGUACCUUGUGAAAUCCCACGGCUCAACCGUGGAACUGCUUGGUAUACUGCUUGUCUUGUGCAACCUAGGGGCGAGCGGAACAGAUGGUGGAGCGGUGAAAUGCGUAGAUAUCAUCUGGAACGCCAAUGGUGAAAACAGCUCGCUGGGGGUUUGCAGACGCUGAGACACGAAAGCCAGGGGAGCAAACAGG